rnacentral:lncRNA from 1 species
AUGUUCAUUUUUACAUCCCAAAUUAUGGCCAUAGGCAAGAGAGUGUGUAGGCCUACAAGGACUUUGAUAACAGUUAAGAUGAAACCACUGUUGUGUGCCUUUUUCUUCUUGCUGGUGUGCUGCGUGUUCAUCAAUGCUGAGGAGGAUACAAAAGUAAUGACAACUAAACCAGCUAAGCCCGCAGCGACAGAGAAGCCAAAGACAUCUGGUGCCAGCACUAUGGAUGGACUGUCCGCACUGCAGUUGCUGAUGACCUUGAUUCCUGCUCUCCUCUGCAAAGUGUUUUAACAGUUCAUCUCAGGCUAUGGCAUGAAGGACACACGUCAUCAAAUAAAUGAUUCCCUAUACAUGAUUGGUGUGAUUCC